GUCUACGAUCAUUAGCUGAUGUGAGAGCAUGAUCAGCCACACGGGCACUGAGACACGGGCCCGACUCCUACGGGAGGCAGCAGUAAGGAAUAUUGGUCAAUGGACGAAAGUCUGAACCAGCUAUGCCGCGUGAAGGAUUAAGGUCCUCUGGAUUGUAAACUUCUUUUAUAUGGGACGAAAAAAGGUCUUUCUAGAUCACUUGACGGUACCAUAUGAAUAAGCACCGGCUAACUCCGUGCCAGCAGCCGCGGUAAUACAGAGGGUGCAAGCGUUAUCCGGAUUCACUGGGUUUAAAGGGUGCGUAGGCGGGCAGGUAAGUCAGUGGUGAAAUCCUGGAGCUUAACUCCAGAACUGCCAUUGAUACUAUCUGUCUUGAAUAUUGUGGAGGUAAGCGGAAUAUGUCAUGUAGCGGUGAAAUGCUUAGAUAUGACAUAGAACACCUAUUGCGAAGGCAGCUUACUACGCAUAUAUUGACGCUGAGGCACGAAAGCGUGGGGAUCAAACAGGAUUAGAUACCCUGGUAGUCCACGCCCUAAACGAUGGAUACUCGACAUAUGCGAUACACUGUAUGUGUCUGAGCGAAAGCAUUAAGUAUCC
rnacentral:rRNA from 1 species